UACGAAGGGGGCUAGCGUUGCUCGGAAUCACUGGGCGUAAAGCGCACGUAGGCGGCUUCUUAAGUCAGGGGUGAAAUCCUGGAGCUCAACUCCAGAACUGCCUUUGAUACUGGGAAGCUUGAGUCCGGGAGAGGUGAGUGGAACUGCGAGUGUAGAGGUGAAAUUCGUAGAUAUUCGCAAGAACACCAGUGGCGAAGGCGGCUCACUGGCCCGGUACUGACGCUGAGGUGCGAAAGCGUGGGGAGCAAACAGG
rnacentral:rRNA from 1 species